rnacentral:rRNA from 1 species
GAUGAACGCUGGCGGCGUGCCUAAUACAUGCAAGUCGAGCGAACGGACGAGAAGCUUGCUUCUCUGAUGUUAGCGGCGGACGGGUGAGUAACACGUGGAUAACCUACCUAUAAGACUGGGAUAACUUCGGGAAACCGGAGCUAAUACCGGAUGAUAUUUUGAACCGCAUGGUUCAAAAGUGAAAGACGGUCUUGCUGUCACUUAUAGAUGGAUCCGCGCUGCAUUAGCUAGUUGGUAAGGUAACGGCUUACCAAGGCAACGAUGCAUAGCCGACCUGAGAGGGUGAUCGGCCACACUGGAACUGAGACACGGUCCAGACUCCUACGGGAGGCAGCAGUAGGGAAUCUUCCGCAAUGGGCGAAAGCCUGACGGAGCAACGCCGCGUGAGUGAUGAAGGUCUUCGGAUCGUAAAACUCUGUUAUUAGGGAAGAACAUAUGUGUAAGUAACUGUGCACAUCUUGACGGUACCUAAUCAGAAAGCCACGGCUAAAUACGUG